UACGUAGGGUGCGAGCGUUAAUCGGAAUUACUGGGCGUAAAGCGUGCGCAGGCGGUUCUCCAAGUCCGUUGUGAAAGCCCCGGGCUCAACCUGGGAAUGGCAGUGGAAACUAGGGGACUUGAAUCUGGCAGAGGGGGGUGGAAUUCCACGUGUAGCAGUGAAAUGCGUAGAGAUGUGGAGGAACACGAUGGCGAAGGCAGCCCCCUGGGCUGAGAUUGACGCUCAGGCACGAAAGCGUGGGGAGCAAACAGG
rnacentral:rRNA from 1 species